UGGAUUGCAAAUGUCAUGAAC
rnacentral:piRNA from 1 species